rnacentral:rRNA from 1 species
GCUUAACGCGAAGAACCUUACCUACUCUUGACAUCUAGCGAAGAUUGCAGAGAUGCAGUUGUGCCUUCGGGAACGCUAAGACAGGUGCUGCAUGGCUGUCGUCAGCUCGUGUUGUGAAAUGUUGGGUUAAGUCCCGCAACGAGCGCAACCCUUAUCCUUAGUUGCCAGCACGUAAUGGUGGGAACUCUAGGGAGACUGCCGGUGAUAAACCGGAGGAAGGUGGGGACGACGUCAAGUCAUCAUGGCCCUUACGAGUAGGGCUACACACGUGCUACAAUGGUACGUACAGAGGGAGGCAAGCUGGCGACAGUGAGCGGAUCUCUUAAAGCGUAUCGUAGUCCGGAUCGCAGUCUGCAACUCGACUGCGUGAAGUCGGAAUCGCUAGUAAUCGCAAA